rnacentral:rRNA from 1 species
UGAGGAAUAUUGGACAAUGGGCGCAAGCCUGAUCCAGCCAUGCCGCGUGCAGGAAGAAGCAUCUAUGGUGUGUAAACUGCUUUUGUACGGGAAGAAACACUCCUACGUGUAGUGUGCUGAAUGUACCGAAGGAAUAAGGAUCGGCUAACUCCGUGCCAGCAGCCGCGGUAAUACGGAGGAUCCAAGCGCUAUCCGGAAUCAUUGGGUUUAAAGGGUCCGUAGGCGGUUUAAUAAGUCAGUGGUGAAAGCCCAUCGCUCAACGAUGGAACGGCCAUUGAUACUGCUAGACUUGAAUUAUUAGGAAGUAACUAGAAUAUGUAGUGUAGCGGUGAAAUGCUUAGAUAUUACAUGGAAUACCAAUUGCGAAGGCAGGUUACUACUAAUGGAUUGACGCUGAUGGACGAAAGCGUGGGGAGCGAACA